UACGUAGGGGGCGAGCGUUGUCCGGAAUCAUUGGGCGUAAAGAGCUCGUAGGCGGCUCAGCAAGUCGGCUGUGAAAUUCCGAGGCUCAACCUCGGAACUGCAGUCGAUACUGCUGUGACUCGAGUCCGGUAGAGGAGAAUGGAAUUCCCGGUGUAGCGGUGAAAUGCGCAGAUAUCGGGAGGAACACCAGUAGCGAAGGCGGUUCUCUGGGCCGGUACUGACGCUGAGGAGCGAAAGCGUGGGGAGCAAACAGG
rnacentral:rRNA from 1 species